rnacentral:rRNA from 1 species
AUACGGAGGAUCCGAGCGUUAUCCGGAUUUAUUGGGUUUAAAGGGUGCGCAGGCGGCCAUUUAAGUCAGCGGUUAAAUCGUGGGGCUCAACCCCAUUCUGCCGUUGAUACUGGGUGGCUUGAUUGCGGUCGAGGUUGGCGGAAUUCGUUGUGUAGCGGUGAAAUGCAUAGAUAUGUCGAAGAACACCGAUUGCGUAGGCAGCUGACCAGACCGCAAAUGACGCUCAUGCACGAAAGUGCGGGGAUCGAACAGGAUUAGAUACCCUGGUAGUCCGCACAGUAAACGAUGAAUACUUGUUUUCGGCGAUAUAAUGUCGGAGGCAAAGCGAAAGCGAUAAGUAUUCCACCUGGGGAGUACGCCGGCAACGGUGAAACUCAAAUGAAUUGGCGGGG